AGUGAACGCUGGCGGCAGGCCUAACACAUGCAAGUCGAACGAACUCUUCGGAGUUAGUGGCGGACGGGUGAGUAACACGUGGGAACGUGCCUUUAGGUUCGGAAUAACUCAGGGAAACUUGUGCUAAUACCGAACGUGCCCUUCGGGGGAAAGAUUUAUCGCCUUUAGAGCGGCCCGCGUCUGAUUAGCUUGUUGGUGGGGUAAUGGCCCACCAAGGCGACGAUCAGUAGCUGGUCUGAGAGGAUGACCAGCCACAUUGGGACUGAGACACGGCCCAAACUCCUACGGGAGGCAGCAGUGGGGAAUCUUGCGCAAUGGGCGAAAGCCUGACGCAGCCAUGCCGCGUGGAUGAUGAAGGUCUUAGGAUUGUAAAAUCCUUUCACCGGUGAAGAUAAUGACUGUAGCCGGAGAAGAAGCCCCGGCUAACUUCGUGCCAGCAGCCGCCGUAA
rnacentral:rRNA from 1 species